rnacentral:lncRNA from 1 species
GCCAGGGUAGUUUUAGUGAGGAGUCACAGGACUGUUUGAGUUGAGCAUGAUUCGGAUGAUCUAAUCAGGGUUGAUAGUUUAACCCUGAGUCGUCCUAUACACAGGGGUCAAAAGGGAUGAAUUAUACAGUAACCAUAUUCGCGUAGGUUCUGAAUGUUGCGAUUGUGACUAUUUGACCUAUCCGAACGUCGGGUACCAUUGCUAGAUGGUCACUUCGAUUAGUACAGGAAUUGAUUCCUGUGCUACCGGCUUAGGUUCGAACCUGCAGGGUCACACACAUUAGAGGUUCCUGUCUGAUCUGAUGGCUGGUGAAGAGUCCCAUUGGACUGAGACUCUUCGACCAAGAGUCCUAAUGCCCAAAGACUCUGAGUUUUAUGUAUCUGAGACUCUUUGAUUGAGAAUCAAGAUUCUCUGAUCAUGAGUUCCAUACAUUUUGAGUAUCGGGGUCAAGAGUCCCACUGGUUUGGGACUCUUCGAUCAGGGUUUCAUAUCGAUGGACUUUGAUGCCCGAUUGCCCAUCGAAUUUAGACUCAGUAUUUAUGAGAGAUUUGAUUAGUAAUUUGAUCACUAAUUAACUCAAUUUGAUUGAGUGAUUAUUUUUGGAUCAAGUCCAAUUGAAUUGGAUUCAUUUGGGUUUGACCCGAUUAGGUUAAGAGUUG